rnacentral:tRNA from 1 species
AUCUAGAUAGUUUAAUUUUAAAAUAUUGAUUUGUGAUAUCAAAGAUAAUUUAUGUUUUUAGAUU